AGAACAGGCAGCGUUAAGGCUUCAAACGACACAGAAAAAUGGGUUUGCACGGGCGUUGUGUGCUGCUGCUGCUCUUGGUGCUGUUCUCUGCAUCAGAGAGAUGGGGAAACGUGGAAGCCAUCAGGACAGUUCCCUUUCAUCCCCGGCAGAGGUAUGGGAGGAUAUUUGCGACGCUGGGGUUUGUGUGCAGAUGUUUUAACGACGAUAAAGGAGAAAGCACGACAACCGCGGGGACUGCGGGGUCUUGCUCCAAUUUCCAAUGCCUGCCCUGGAAACAACAUUAAUUUUUUGCAUAUGGUUGAUUCAAUCCGUUGAUUUGUGUAUAUAUAUAUAUAUAUGCGGAGUGAAAUGAAUUCCAGUGGUUUGCGACCCUUCUGAUGUUUUGUGGGAAGUCAGCAAUAUGCCAGAAUAGUCCCUAAUUUUUUGUAAGACAAGAAGUGUUUAAUUUUAUUUUAUUUUCUUAGAAUAAUAAAAAUGUUUACUUCUUACCA